rnacentral:rRNA from 1 species
GACGGAGGGUGCAAGCGUUGUUCGGAUUGACUGGGCGUAAAGGGCGUGUAGGCGGCUGGUCAAGUCUGAUGUGAAAGCCCGGGGCUCAGCUCCGGAAGGGCAUCGGAAACUAGCCAGCUGGAGCGCGAUAGAGGAGGGCGGAAUUCCUGGUGUAGCGGUGAAAUGCGUAGAUAUCAGGAGGAACACCGGCGGCGAAGGCGGCCCUCUGGAUCGUUGCUGACGCUGAGACGCGAAAGCGUGGGGAGCAAACAGG